GAUGAACGCUGGCGGCGUGCCUAAUACAUGCAAGUCGAGCGAACGGACGAGAAUCUUGCUUCUCUGAUGUUAGCGGCGGACGGGUGAGUAACACGUGGAUAACCUACCUAUAAGACUGGGAUAACUUCGGGAAACCGGAGCUAAUACCGGAUGAUAUUUUGAACCGCAUGGUUCAAAAGUGAAAGACGGUCUUGCUGUCACUUAUAGAUGGAUCCGCGCUGCAUCAGCUAGUUGGUAAGGUAACGGCUUACCAAGGCAACGAUGCAUAGCCGACCUGAGAGGGUGAUCGGCCACACUGGAACUGAGACACGGUCCAGACUCCUACGGGAGGCAGCAGUAGGGAAUCUUCCGCAAUGGGCGAAAGCCUGACGGAGCAACGCCGCGUGAGUGAUGAAGGUCUUCGGAUCGUAAAACUCUGUUAUUAGGGAAGAACAUAUGUGUAAGUAACUGUGCACAUCUUGACGGUACCUAAUCAGAAAGCCACGGCUAACUACGUG
rnacentral:rRNA from 1 species